UAUCUUCGGGGUUUGGUGAAAUUCCAUACCGGCGGUUAUAGUCCGCGAACCAAGGCGAUUCCCCGCGAAUCGCUUUGGCCGAUCAGGUGAAAUUCCUGUACCGACGGUAAAGUCCGGAUGUGAGAAGAUA
rnacentral:ncRNA from 1 species